GGACCGGGAUGGACGAACCACUGGUGUAUCUGUUGUCGACCAACGGCAUAGCAGAGUAGCCAAGUUCGGAAGGGAUAAACGCUGAAGGCAUCUAAGCGUGAAGCCCCCCUCAAGAUGAGAUAUCCCCUCCUAAAAGGAGAUAAGACCCCUGAGAGACUAACAGGUAAAUAGGGCAGAGGUGGAAGUGCAGUAAUGUAUGUAGCUGACUGUUACUAAUAGGUCGAAGGCUUGACCAA
rfam:Lachnobacterium bovis strain S1b genome assembly, contig: IE07DRAFT_scaffold00014.14